rnacentral:tRNA from 1 species
UGGGUUGUAGCUCAGUGGUAGAGUGCUUGCCUAGCAUGCAUGAGGCACUGGGUUUGAUUCUCAGCACUGCAU